ensembl:lncRNA LINC00836 long intergenic non-protein coding RNA 836
ACAGUGAAACGAGCUUGCAUGAGAGCAUCCCAGGACCACUGAACAUUCAGAGAACAGCCAGUUGUAAGGGGUAAAAUAAAUUGGAGAAGAGAACAUCCACAUGGAUUAAGUCCCAAGCUCACCCUUUGUUAGUGAGAAUGUAGUCACGUGGCCAUACCUACUACAAGAGACAGAAUCUUGCUCUGUUGCCCAGGCUGGAGUGCAGUGGUACAGUCAUAGCUCACUGUUGCAGGAAAUCAGGGACCCCAAACAGAGGGACUGGCUGAAGCCAUGGCAGAAGAACAUGGAUUGUAAAGAUUUUAUGGACAUUUAUUAGUUCCCCAAAUUAAUACUUUUAUAAUUUCUUAUGCCUGUCUUUACUGCACUUUCUAAACAUAAAUUGUAAAGAUUUCAUGGACACUUAUCACUUCCCCAAUCAAUACCCUUGUGAUUUCCUAUGCCUGUCUUUACUUUAAUCUCUUAAUCCUAUCAGCUGAGGAAGAUGUAUGUUGCCUCAGGACCAUGGGGUAAUUGCGUUAACUGCACAAAUUGUACAGCAUGUGUGUUUGAACAAAUAUGAAAUCUGGGCACCUUGAAAAAAGAACAGGAUAACAGCAAUGUUCAGGGAACAAGAGAGAUAACCUUAAACUCUGACUGCCGGUGAGCCGGGCGGAACAGAGCCAUAUUUCUCUUCUUUCAAAAGCAAAUGGGAGAAAUAUCACUGAAUUCUUUUUCUCAGCUGGGAACAUCCCUGGGAAAGACAAUACGCACCUGGGGGUAUAGGUCUAUAAAUGGCCCCCCUGGGUGUGGUCGUUUUUUAUGGUCUGUAGACUGUUGGGGUGAAAUAGACCCCAGUCUCCCAUAGCGCUCCCAGGUUUAUUAGGAAGGGGAAAUUCCCGCCUAAUAAAUUUUGGUCAGACAGGUUGCUCUCAAAACCCUGUCUCUUGAUAAGAUGUUAUCAAUGACAAUGGUGCCCGAAACUUCAUUAGCAAUUUUAAUUUCGCCUCAGUCCUGUGGUCCUGUGGUCUCGACCUGCCUCCAUUUGCCCUGUGAUAUUCUAUUACCUUGUGAAGCACUUCAUGUCUGUGACCCACACCCUAUUCAUAUAGUCCCUCCCCUUUUGAAACUCCCUAAUAAAAACUUGCUGGUUUUACAGCUUGUGGGGCAUCACGGAACCUACCAACAUGUGAUGUCUCCCCCGGACGCCCAGCUUUAAAAUUUCUCUCUUCUGUACUCUGUCCCUUUAUUUCUCAAACUGGCCGAUGCUUAGGGAAAAUAGAAAAGAACCUACGUGACUAUUGGGGCAGGUUCCCUGAUAGCUCACUGUAGCCUCAAAUUCCUGAUCUCAAGGGAUCCUCCCACCUCAGCCUCCCAAAUACCUAGGACUAUACUGUCACCAUGCCCAGUUAUUUAUUUCCUCCAGUUUUUGUACUCCAUCUCUGUGCUGUUCUAGGUAACCGAUAUUUUCCAUGAUUAAAAAUUAUAUCUGGCCAGGUGCAGUGGCUCACGUCUGUAACCCCAGCACUUUGGGAGGCUGAGGCAGGUGGAUCACUUGAGGUCAGGAGUUCAAGACCAGACUGGCCAACAUGAUGAAACCACAUCUCUACAAAAAAUACAAAAAUUAGCCGAGUGUAGUGGUGUGCACCUGUAAUCCCAGCACAUUGGAAGGCCGAAGCAGGAGGAUCACUUGAGGUCAGGA